CCUACGGGAGGCAGCAGUGAGGAAUAUUGGACAAUGGGCGCAAGCCUGAUCCAGCCAUGCCGCGUGCAGGAUGACGGUCCUAUGGAUUGUAAACUGCUUUUGCACAGGAAGAAACAACAUUACGUGUAAUGUCUUGACGGUACUGUGAGAAUAAGGAUCGGCUAACUCCGUGCCAGCAGCCGCGGUAAUACGGAGGAUCCAAGCGUUAUCCGGAAUCAUUGGGUUUAAAGGGUCCGUAGGCGGUUUAGUAAGUCAGUGGUGAAAGCCCAUCGCUCAACGGUGGAACGGCCAUUGAUACUGCUAGACUUGAAUUAUUAGGAAAGUAACUAGAAUAUGUAGUGUAGCGGUGAAAUGCUUAGAGAUUACAUGGAAUACCAAUUGCGAAAGGCAGGUUACUACUAAUUAGAUUGACGCUGAUGGACGAAAGCGUGGGUAGCGAACAGGAUUAGAUACCCUGGUAGUCCACGCCGUAAACGAUGGAUACUAGCUGUUGGAGCGAUCUCNGUGNGAGACGAAGAGAGAAGUAAUACCUAACCGUAGGGUAGGUUACGGUUCGUCGAAGAAAGUAAGAACGUUACGAAAGGAAAGUUAGGACGGACGUUGGAGACGAGACCGAACGGACGAACCGAACGAAGGGGAAGGAAGGAG
rnacentral:rRNA from 1 species